AUUCAUUUUAAACUAUCCCAAGAUGCACUUUUCCAAGAUUUAGCGGGUUCUGAUUGGUCAGUAUUGGCGCACUUUAUGAUUCCGAGCGAAGGUUAAAAUGGACAAGAAGGUGCUGUUGUAAAAUGGAGAAUUGAGAAGCAUUAAUAGCCUCUACAACAAGGAGAUAAUGCAGGAACGAAGAACUCAUGUCAAGCAUUGACAGCAUACAAAGUCAAUGUUUCCGGUGAUUAGUUGCAUCCUCCGUUCGGUGAUUCGGGUGAAUGUUUUGACCAGCUGGACAAUGUGAACGCAAGAUAAAUAGAACAGACAUAAAGUACAGCCCAGUGAAAGGAACAAGUUCAUCGCAAGAAGAAGAAUUUUAAUGCUACCACUGUCCAGAACUACUAAGUCUGCUGUAGCCAUGAUGUGAUCAUAUAAGUGCUUCACCGGUCUGGACAAUGCUCGAAAGUCCCCCAAAAAGGCCUAUUUCCAUAAACUACGACUCGGGUUACAUCAACAACAGCCAAGGACACUCCUUAUUGAUUCGAAUGGACACAUCUCUACGACCCGACUAAACCUCUGCAGAACAAGACUUUUUAACUGUAAAGUAUUCUCAUUUCAAAAAACCUAUAAACUAUAAAAGUACUUUUUUUAUAUGAUCAAAUACCAGUAUAUUACAAUGUCUGUAAGCUAGAAUCUUAGAAAAUCACAUGGUUUUGACUUAUUAAAUGAUUGAUUAGACCUUGCAGAUAUUAACUUUCAUUUUCUUAAAUAAUUUGUUUUAUUUGCAAAUAUUGCAUAAAAUAUUAGACUCCAUGUA